GAAGUAAAAAGUCGUAACAAGGUCUCCGUUGGUGAACCAGCG
rnacentral:rRNA from 2 species